AAACGGGUGCGGAACACGUACGCAACCUUCCUUUAACUGGAGAAUAGCCCCUCGAAAGAGGGAUUAAUACUCCGUAACAUAUUGAUAAGGCAUCUUAUUAAUAUUAUAGCUCCGGCGGUUAAAGAUGGGCGUGCGCCUGAUUAGAUAGUUGGCGGGUAACGGCCCACCAAGUCUGCGAUCAGUAACUGGUGUGAGAGCACGACCAGUCACACGGGCACUGAGACACGGGCCCG
rnacentral:rRNA from 1 species